GGUAUCGCGAGGUUCCGUGCGGAGGACCAGAAGGCAAAAUCCGGAACAGGUGGUAUAUACCAUGUUGGCUGGUAGGAUGGGAUGACCUUGCAAAAGAUGGGGAUGUCCAAAACCACACUAUAUCCUAUUAGUUAUGAGGACUGGAUUCGGAGGAAAGAGAAUUGA
rfam:Bacillus sp. OxB-1 DNA, complete genome.